rnacentral:rRNA from 1 species
AACGAACGCUGGCGGCAUGCCUAACACAUGCAAGUCGAACGAGACCUUCGGGUCUAGUGCGCACGGGUGCGUCACGCGUGGGAACCUGCCCUUAGGUUCGCAAUAACUCCCCUAAAGGGGUGCUAAUACCGGAUAAUGUCUUCGGACCAAAGAUUUAUCGCCUUUGGAUGGGCCCGCGUUGGAUUAGCUCGUUGGUAGGGUAAAACCCUACCAAUGCGACGAUCCAUAGCUGGUCUGAGAGGAUGAUCAGCCACACUGGUACUGAGACACGGACCAGACUCCUACGGGAGGGAGCAGUAGGGUAUAUUGGACGAUGGGCGAAAGUCUGAUAAAGCCAUGCCGCGUGAGUGAUGAAGGCCUUAGGGUUGUAAAGCUCUUUUAGCCGGGAUGAUAAUGACAGUACCGGGAGAAUAAGCUCCGGCUAACUACGUG